rnacentral:rRNA from 1 species
UACGUAGGGUGCGAGCGUUGUCCGGAAUUAUUGGGCGUAAAGAGCUCGUAGGCGGUGUGUCACGUCGGCCGUGAAAACCUGGGGCUCAACUCUGGGCGUGCGGUCGAUACGGGCAUCACUAGAGUUCGGCAGGGGAGACUGGAAUUCCUGGUGUAGCGGUGAAAUGCGCAGAUAUCAGGAAGAACACCCGUGGCGAAAGCGGCUCUCGUGGAACGGUACUGACGCUGAGACGCGAAAGCGUGGGGAGCGAACAGG